rnacentral:rRNA from 1 species
GAUGAACGCUGGCGGCGUGCUUAACACAUGCAAGUCGAACGAAGUGGCGAACGGGUGAGUAACGCGUAAUCAACCUGCCCUUCAGAGGGGGACAACAGUUGGAAACGACUGCUAAUACCGCAUACUGAAGGAGGGGAUUGCGUCUGAGUAGCUAGUUGGAGGGGUAACGGCUCACCAAGGCGAUGAUCAGUAGCCGGGCCUGGAGGAUGAACGGCCACAUUGGGACUGAGGAACGGCCCAAACUCCUACGGGAGGCAGCAGUGGGGAAUCUUCCGCAAUGGAGGAAAGUCUGACGGAGCAACGCCGCGUGAGUGAUGACGGCCUUCGGGUUGUAAAGCUCUGUUAAUCGGGACGCGGUACCGGAAUAGAAAGCCACGGCUAACUACGUGCCAGCAGCCGCGGUAAUUC